rnacentral:lncRNA from 1 species
GGAGAGAAGGAGGGGCGCGCGCGGCGGCCAGCCCGCAGACGCCGGGAGCCGCGCAGCAGAGAAGAACGCUCGCCGCGAGCCUGGGCGAGCCGAUCUGAUUUGUAUCCAGUCUGAUCAGCACUCCCUCACAUAAGAUUUUCCAGACCCAGGACUCCAGAGGAACCAGCCCCCUCACAAGAAGGCGACUGUAACUUCCGGUUCCUUGGUGGAGGAAAAGAAUACACUCUGGUCUUGCUUCCAACGAUGCAA